rnacentral:rRNA from 1 species
UACGUAGGGUGCAAGCGUUGUCCGGAAUUAUUGGGCGUAAAGAGCUCGUAGGCGGUUUGUCGCGUCGGCUGUGAAAACUCGGGGCUCAACCCCGAGCCUGCAGUCGAUACGGGCAGACUAGAGUGCUGUAGGGGAGACUGGAAUUCCUGGUGUAGCGGUGAAAUGCGCAGAUAUCGGGAGGAACACCGGUGGCGAAGGCGGUUCUCUGGGCCUUACCUGACGCUGAGGAGCGAAAGCGUGGGGAGCGAACAGG